rnacentral:rRNA from 1 species
GACGACGCUGGCGGCGUGGAUUAGGCAUGCAAGUCGAACGGUAUCAUCCUUUCGGGGGUGAGAGAGUGGCGAACUGGUGAGUAACACGUAGGUUAUCUACCCUCAAGACGGGGGACAACCCAGGGAAACUUGGGCUAAUACCGGAUGUGAGCAACUUUUAGUUGUUUGAAAGGUGGCGUAAGCUGUCGCUUGGGGAUGAGCCUGCGUCCUAUUAGUUAGUUGGUGAGGUAACGGCUCACCUAGGCAAUGAUAGGUAGGCGGCCUUAACGGGUGGUCGCCCACACUGGGAUUGAGAUACGGCCCAGACUCCUACGGGAGGCAGCAGUCGAGAAUAGUCUACAAUGGUCGGAAGACUGAUAGUGCGACGCCGCGUGAACGAUGAAUCCCUUCGGGGCGUAAAGUUCUUUUAUAUGUGAGCAGUGCUUCUUAUAUUAACAGUAUGGGGAGAGAGAUAUUAGCAUAUGAAUAAGCAACGGCUAACUCCGUG